GCGAAAGCUGCUGGGGGCGCCUGGGUCACACCUUCUCACUAGACUGUAGCACAACACAGAUCUGACUGGCAGGAGUUUGCUCAUGAGGGGAACUUCCGCAAGCUGUGAACACAUUACCUUCCGCAGGCGGCUCUGGGAGCUGCGGUUGCCUGUUCCGGGGAAGACUGCACUGAUGUCCUGGCUUCCCUCCAACUCAUUAUGUAGCUGAAGAGAAGGACAACCUCAAACUCCUGCUCCUUCUGUCUCUAUUGUUCAAGAUCUGGGAUAACUUUCAUGUGCUUCCGUACCCAGCUUAUGGGCUGCUGGGGAUUGAACCCCAGGCUUCAUGCGUGCUAGACUCUCCGUGGAGUCAAAGAGUCAGGAGUCAGGAGGGACUGGCACCCCUGGAGGAGACUGGCUCCCGAGAGUCGCCUGGCAGGCCCAGGUCCCUGAGGCUGAUGCCCAGAUGAGAAGAUAAAGCCACACAGAGCAGAAGGCACAGCACCUGGCGGAAACACCGUUUGCACAGCCUAUGGCAGCGCUAUGUCCAGAGGGAAGGGAAUUUGCUGGCAGAAGGCAGUGGACACAGUGGACUGCUGAAG